UCCGGUGUCGAUGCGCUUAGGGGGCCCACCCGUUCCCAUCCCGAACACGAUGGUUAAGACCUCAGCGGCCGAUGAUACUAUGCUGGAGACGGCAUGGGAAAGCAGGUGGAUGCCGGAU
rnacentral:rRNA from 1 species